ACCGGUGUUUGGGUUAUUUCUCAUGAAUGUGGUCACCAUGCCUUCAGUGACUACCGGUGGGUUGAUGACACAGUUGGCUUAAUCCUCCAUUCUGCACUUUUAGUCCCUUACUUUUCCUGGAAAUACAGCCACCGCCGCCAUCACUCAAACACAGGGUCCCUUGAGCGAGACGAAGUGUUCGUUCCAAAGCCUAAGUCUCGAAUCGCAUGGUAUUCCAAGUACCUAAACAACCCACCAGGUCGAGCUUUAAGUCUUGUUGUCACACUUCUGCUAGGCUGGCCCUUAUACCUAGCCUUCAACGUUUCAGGUCGACCCUAUGAUCGCUUUGCCUGUCACUAUGAUCCCUAUGGCCCCAUAUAUUCUGAUCGUGAAAGGCUUCAGAUUUACAUUUCUGAUCUUGGCAUUUUUGCCGCAACUUUUGUGCUCUACAGCAUCGCUGUGUCUCGAGGGCUGGCAUUUCUGAUAUGCAUUUAUGGGGUACCGUUACUUAUUGCUAAUGGUUUACUUGUCACCAUCACAUACUUGCAGCACACUCACCCUGCAUUGCCACAUUAUGAUUCCUCUGAAUGGGAGUGGCUUAGAGGAGCUUUGGCAACCAUGGAUAGAGACUAUGGGAUCCUGAACAAGGUCUUCCAUAACAUUACAGACACGCAUGUAGCUCACCAUCUCUUCUCUAACAUGCCACAUUAUCAUGCAAUGGAGGCUACGAAAGCAAUCAAGCCAAUACUGGGUGAGUUCUACCAGUUUGAUGACACUCCGAUUUACAAGGCCUUAUGGAGGGAGACAAAAGAAUGCCUGUAUGUUGAUCCAGACGACGGAGCUCCUGAAAAAGGCGUGUUCUGGUACCGGAACAAGUUUUGAUCCUGCUGCCUGCAAAAUCAUGCUAGCUAGAUGCAAGGGUAGGGUUCAAUAUGUGUAGCGUGUUGCUAAUAAAUGGGGGAGAAGGUGUUGUUGAGCUAAAAAUGUAAUGGACUUGUAAUGAAACUCAUCAACUUAUGAAUUCUUAUGAAAAAAAAAUAAAAAAAAAUCAACUUAUGAAUACUUCUCUUCUUAGCUACUAUCAGCUUUUGUUUUUAGACUAGACAAGCGACGAUGACCAAAUUUUUGUGUGGUGUUUCCUCUGUCAAGUUUGUCUAUAAAACCUUGCAAGAAAUUAAAUAAACACAGACGAGCACAGAAAAAUAAGAGAGAGAUAAGAAACAAUAUUCAUGUAAAGGAUAAGAUAAACCCCUCGACGAAGGGAUAAAUCUCCCUCAAAAUUAUUCAUUAAUUUCCUUCAUCAUACUCUUCAACAUCAGUACAAAUCCUCGAGGAACCAGCACCUGUUAUAAUGACUCAUCUGAGCCAUCUUUUGAACCUGGAGAUAAGCCUCAAAAUCCUGAGGCAAAACUUGACUAAAAAAAGCGGCAUUCCGCAUUAAUUAAUGCUCCAAUUUUCCUGUUUCCAUUUAUGCUUAUGGUUAUGACACAUUUUUAACCCCUUUUAUUUUGAUGAAUUCCUAAAAUUCUCAAAACUCAAUAAUAUUUUGGCAUUCAUAUGAUUUUUCUGAAACUAUAAGGUGGCAGAGUCAAAGGAAACUGGAGGACCUGCACAAUCGCCCCUGAAAAAAAAUAUUUUUCUUGAGAGUACAUGAAGUAUGUUGUAAUGACUGCAUCUCUAUCUUCAUAAAAUUUGUCUCCGAUCGAAAUAUGUGUUGAAAAAAGUAUCUUGAUAUUUACAAUCUUGCAAAUAAGUUUUAUCCCAAGAAUUUUAUAUCAAGAGUAAUUUCUUUUGAGAUCUUGAUAAAAUUAUUUUGGAUUUGUUAUUGUUUUUUAGAAUAUUAUGAAUUGAGAAAAGUAUCAAUGCUCAGAAUAAUUAGCAAACUAUCUGUACUCUUGUUGAAAAAAUAAAUUGCUUAUAAAAAUUUAAUUCUGAUUCCUUAAGCUAAAUUUCUGAAUCGGUCACCAUACCCUCCCUUUCGGAACCAUAUUGUCGUAGUUGUGUGGUGAGAGGGCAAGCCUUGCAUUUGUUGUUAGCCUUGACAAUUUGCCAAAUGUGUCAUCAAGCAUGCAUUAGUGUCCAUAACAUUUCACUGAAAAACAAAUCAAACUAACCAGACCAGUAAAAUCUAACCCUUAAUUUCUUUAUUAAUAAAAAAUAUUUUUUGAAAAAGCCAAUAGGUUGAAGGCAUGGUUUUGAUCACCAUGUUAGCUUCGAGUCAAGGUGUUAACUUGAGUAUUUUAUUAGAUUAAUCAAUAUUUUUUAUUUUAUUUUUUAAACUUGAUUUGAGUCUCCUAUAUCCUGUUUAAAUUUUACAAUAUGAUUAUACGCUCUGUAUUUCAUUAAUUACCUUUUAACUUCACCUACAUUUCUUAAUUAACCGACGUUGCAAUUUAUGGAGGUAGAAGAUUAUUAUUUAGGUGGUUGAAAUAUUAAUGAUCAUGUCUAUAUUUCUUUUUCUGAUGUUUAGGUUAGGUUAACCAGAUCGAUCGAAACUUUGGCAUGUACUAUUGGUUUUGAUGUCCGACUAAUUUUAGGUAUGCUGUGGACAUCGCAUUUAUAUCAUUAUUUAAUAGCUAAUAAUUUUAAGAAUGCCUGUAUGUUGAGCCAGACGACGGAGCUCCCCAAAAAGGCGUGUUCUGGUACCGGAACAAGUUUUGAUCCUGCUGCCUGCAAAAUCUAGCUAGCUAGAUCACCCCCGAGCAAGGGAUCAGUCAAACUAGUAUAAUUGUGUUGCUAAUAAAUGGGGCUGAAGGAGUUGUUGAGCCAAUAAUGGGAUAGGCGUGUGAUGAAAUUCAGCUUCUGAGUGCUUCUCUUAGUGUUUGUUUGUCAAUGCGGGCGUGGUUCAUCCGCAUUUCUAAAUUAAAAACUUGAAAAGAUGAUAUUUGGAGUUUGGAAAAUAUGUUCUUACUUUUCAAUUAGCUUUUGUUUUUAGACCAACGAAGCAAGAUUUCUAAUCAUCUAUGAUUAUAAUGAAACCUACGAACAUAAUUUAGUCAGGAAAAUACAGAAGAAAUACUGAAAACCACAAACAAUAGUAGCAAACAAAUUUAAGAAAGAAAUGUUGAUCCGCUCAUAUCUUUCAACUAAUAAAAUAAAAUCAUGAUUUGAUUUUCAAGCAUUCUACUAGUUAGAAUACAAUUAGAUUUUCGUCAAGCCUAUUGCUUCUUUAUUUAAUAGCUAAUUACCAACCAAUUAUAUUAUUUACAAUCCAUCAAUCAAAAAAAGAUAUGGCAUUGGUGGCCUUAUAUUGAGAUUGAGUUUAUCUCUCAUUUUUUUAAUAAGCUAUCCAUCAACAUUAAAUUAAAAUUCAUAAGAAAAUGAAUGUUUUUUCUAUAUACAAAAAUAGAUAUUUUCUAUUCUUUAUUAUAAUGCUUUUUUAGUUUUUAUUUUCCUAUUCAUAAGAAAAUGAAUGCUUUUCAUAUAAAAUAUAGAUAUUUUCUAUUCUUAUUAUAAUGCUUUUUUAGUUUUUUCCUAUUUAAAACAAAUAUUUUUUCUAGUUUAGUUUUUCUAUUUAGUAUUAGAAUUUUUUAAUUUUUUUUAUAUAAAGUGUUGUAAUAUAACUUCUUGGCAAGUGAAGACAAAGAAGAAUAAAAAUUAAAUAUUUUGAUUGUCUCUUUAGUUAUGGUGUUUUUGAUGUUUAAACUUUUGACAUGUAAUAAACCUUUAAUCCUUCGCUCUUGUAUGCAUUAAUUGAUAUUAAAGCCCAACUAUUAAUGGUUAUUUUGCUUUGCUAUGUUACAAACAACCAUGAUUAUAGAACAUGAUAUGCUUGUGUAGAAGGUGAUGGUGGGGUUCUUUCAGAAAGAAAAAAAAAAAUUCAAGAACUAGUGUGUGUUUUCAUCUAUGUCAUUUAAUAUUGUUUAAAAUUCUAGUGGUGGGACCCAUAAUGGAGCGGCUCACUCAGAGAUGCUGUGUUAGGAACCCAUGAUGAGAUGACCUCCAUAAAAAUAUGUUCUUGAUGAAUGGUAAUUUUUUAAAUGUAUACUAAACUCGAUGACAAUAUCCUUGAUCCAGAUCUGUGAGACUAAUGUAAGAACUUUUUUAUGAAAAUAUAUAUUUUUAUUAUUUUUUUAUUAUGAUGCUUUUAUAGUUUAUUUUUUAAUAUUUGAAUGGAACAUUUUCUCAAGUUUUUUUUUUCCUAUUUAGUAUUAUUAGGAUUUUCUAAUUUUUUUCCUUUAUAUAACGGGUUGUAAUAGCUUUUUGGCAAGUGGUGACAUAUAAGAAAAAAAUUUGAAUAUUUUUGUUGUCUCCCUAUAUUUACGUUGAUUUUGUCUUUUAGGGUUUUGACAUAUGACAUACCCCUUUAUCUUUUGUUCUUGUCUGCAUCAAUUGAUAUCGGAUCCCAACAACUUUUAGUGAUUGUUUUGCUUAAUUUGUUUUGUGCUACAAAACAAUAAUGGUUGUAAAAGAUUAGGACAUAAUGUGCUUAUAUAAGAGGGGAUUUGUAACUUUCUCUUAAAAAAAAAUAAUCAAGAAUUGGCAUGUUGUUUUUAUUUGCGUUUGUUACUGUUAUUUUAAAUUUUGUUGGUGGGACUCAUGAUGUGGCAUAUUGUAUAAAGAUAUUAUGUUAGAAACCUAUGAUGAGGUGACCUAAAUGUUCUUGAUGAAGGACAAUUCUUAACUGAGGAUUAAUGUAUGACUUUUUUAAAAAAUUAAUUUUUAUUUAUUUUUUAAUGAUUUUUUUCUAGUUUUUUUAUUUUAUGGGAUUUUUUUAUUUAAUAUUAUUAGAGUAUUCUUUAGCUUUUUCUAUAUAAAAAGUUAUAAUAACCUUUUGAUAAGUAGAGACUGAAAAAAUAAAAAUUAAAUAUUUUGAUUAUCUUCCCUUAUAAUGCCUUUGAUCUUCGAAGAUUUUAACAUAAAAUAAACCUUUUUAACCUUAGCUUUUGCUCUCAUUUGCAUCAAUUUUAUUGACUAUAUUAAGGUUGUCAAUUCCGUUUCGAUAGGUGUUUUGUUUUUUCAAUUGAAAUGAAAUGUUUCAGUUUCGGAGUGUUUUGGCAUGCCGUUUCGGAGUUGUACUAUAUAUAUAUAUAUAUUCAACAAACAUAAUUCAAAUUCAAGAUAAAUUAAUUAUAAAUUAUGCAAUACAAACAUAAUGUCAAACAAAUAUAAUUUUAAAAUUUAAAAUAUUUCUAAAUAGUCAAGAUUAAAUAGAUCUUUAACUUAAAGAAAUUCAACUUAAACAAAAUAUCAAAAUAUUAUGAAAUUAAAAUUUUUUAACACAAAUUUUUUAAAUAUAAAGCUAGGUCAAUGUUAUCAAGGCUAAUGGGAUCUAAAGCAUCCCUUGUUUUGCUCAAAUUCCUAUAAAGUAUAAACAUGAAAAAAACACAUGAAUAUAAAUCAUAUAUAUUAGUGAUAAAUCUAAUUUUAAAAAAUUAAUAUCAUUGUUAAUGAAAAUAGUAAUCAUAAUUUUUAAUAAUAUUAUUAAUAUCAUUGUUAUUGAAAAUAAUAAUGAAAAAGAGCUUUUUAUACUUGAGUGGUUUAAUUAAUUAAAUUGAACAAAGUUCAAUUUAAUUCAAUGACUUUUCAAGACCGGAACGGAACAUCUGAAAUGAAACCGGAACAUUCCAGACAGAAUUUAGCCAAAAAAUCCGGAACGGACCGAGAUUUGAAGUGAGAUGAAAAUUGUUUCGUUUUUUAAAUUGAUAUGAAAUGUUUUGGUCAUUCUGGACAAAACAGAAUGGAACUGAUAACCUUGAAUUAUAUAAAUACCAAUUAUGUAGACGAGGAGACAAGAAGUACAACAUGCUUAUGAAAAGAAAAAAAAAAUAGAAGCAAAAGCCGAAAAUAUCCGGACAGAAUUUAGCCAAAAAAUUCGGAACGGACCGAGAUUUGAAGUGAGAUGAAAAUUGUUCCGUUUUGUUCAUUUUUUAAAAUGGUAUGAAAUGUUUCGGUCAUUCUAGACAAAACAGAAUGGAACUGAUAACCUUGAACUAUAUAAAUACCAAUUAUGUAGACGAGAAGACAAGAAGUACACCAUGCUUAUGAAAAGAAAAAAAGAAGAAGCAAAAGCCGAAAAUAUCCGAAUAGAAUUUAGUCAAAAAAUUUGGAAUGGACCGAGAUUUGUAGUGAGUGUUGUAACCCAUUUUUGGGUCCCCACAUAUAAAAUAAUAAAAUACAAAAAAAUUCAAAAAAAAUAUAUUACAAAAAAAAUAUAACAGUGAAAAAUGCCGGAGCGCCCUAAAAAUGCUAAAAAAUUUGUUUGAGGAUGUUCAAAAAUAUAAAAAUUAUUUUUUGACAGUAUAUCAUUAACUGAUGAGAGCCCCGAUGAUAAAGAAAAUUCAAUUUGUGGAAGAAAAAUGCAAAAUCAGAAGUUUAUGGACUCAAUUAAAUUUUAUUGAAGGUUUAAUUGAAUUUAUGGAGAUUUUAAUUGCAAAAAAAAUUGAUUUUGGAGUUAAUUUGGGCUUUAAUUAGGAGAAAUUAAUUUUCUGGGGUCAAAUUAUAAUUUUUGGAAGUUAAUUUGGUCAAAUCAGGGGCUUAAUUGCAUAAAUAUUGAGUUUAAUGGCCAAUUAGGGACUAAUUGAAGAAAUCCGAGACCAAGGACUAAAUUGUAAAACGCGCGCAAAUGGAGGGCCGAAAUUUGAAUCUGAUUCUUUUGGCGCCUUUUUCCUUUUAAAUGAAACGGCGCGUUUUGACCAAAACGGCGCCGUUUCAUUCACUGUUGAAAAAAAAAAAAAAAAAAAAAAAAAACAGAAGCCCAAAACGGUGCCGUUUUGACGGCACUGUAGCUCUUCUUCUUCCCCUGGACACACGAGGCAGGGGAAGAAGAAGAUUUUUUUCUUCCCCUUUUCGCCUAAUUACUUUCCCUCUUUUGCUCAAAAAGACGCCGAAACAAGGACACCACUUGCCGACCACUUUCCACGCGUUGGACGGGCGUUGGACGGGCGGCAGCACACCGGCCACCACCAUGACGUCCCCCCCCCUGUUUUUCGCCUAUAAAAACAGGGGAGGAAGAGGAGAAAAAAGAGGACAACAGAGGGGAGAAGGAAGAGAGAAGGAAGAGAGAAAAGAAGAGAGAAGAGAAGAAAAGAAAAGAAAGAAAAAAAACAGAAACAGAAGAAAAGAAAAAAAACAGAGGAAGAAGGAGAAGAAAACCCGCCGGCCACUGCGCCUCCGCCACCGUCGCCGCCAGCAGCACCGCCACGACGCCACCACAGGUAAACAACCUCUGCCCCGUCUCCUUCGCCCUUUGCAACUGCCUUCUUUAUUUUCAUGCAGAACGUGAAUUAAUUCACGUUCUGCAACUGAUGAGAGGCUGGUUACUGUGCUUAUGCACAGUAACCAGCCCAUUUAGUUUUGGGCCGGUUCGGCCCAGCCCACUGAAAUGGGUCGGGUCCGGCCCAUUUCAAUUUUUUUAUUUUUAUUUUUAUUUUUUACAAUUUUUCCAACACAUGUUUUUAUCAAUUUUGCUUAAUAUCGGUCUGUAUUUUACAUCGUAAAAAAAUAAAUUCGGUAUUAAAAUACCCGGUUUUCGUCCCGCGGUACUGUUCAAAUAAAAUAAGUAAUAAUCAAAAGAAUGAGGAUCAAAUUUGAUAAAUAAAAAAUUUCAAUAAAAAAAUGAUAAGAAAAAAGCAAAUAGCAAUUAUAAAAAUAAGGACCAAAGUUAAUAUAAAAAUAAAAUUUUAAGAGAUGCAAUUGAAAAAUAAAUAUUCAAAACAAAAUAUAUAUAACAAUCAAAAGUUUGAGGAUCAAAUUUGAUAUAAUCAACAAAUAAUGACAUUUCUAAAUUUUUCACAAUUUCCGGAAAGUGUUUUCCCCUCAAAUUUUUCAGGAAAACACUUUUCUGAAAUCCAAGCCAAAUUUUCCUUUUACUGGAAAGUGUUUUCCAUUGACCAACUUUCCUACUGGCAAACAAACACAAGAAAGUUUGGAAAAUGCUUUCCCGGAAACCACUUUUCAGAAAACAAACACAGCUAAAAGGAAAACACUUUCCUGAAAACCAAGUCAAUUUUUUUUUUUACUAAAAUUGACUGGAAAGUGUUUUCCGUUGACCAACUUUUCUAAUGACAAACAAACAUAGGAAAGUUUGGAAAAUGAUUUCCCGGAAACUACUUUCCAGAAAACAAACAAGGCCAAGUAAUUCAACUAUAAAUGCUUUAUAGUAUGAGUGCUUCUAUUUCAACGAAGGAUCCAUUUUUGAUAGCAUUCCACGACUUUGUUUGCCUUCUCACUGGAUAGUUGUUUGAGGUCCAAUGACCUAGAGAAUAGUCAAAACCUUUAAGCGAGAAGAGGAUCAAAAUGUCGUCAUUUUGAUAAAUAUUUUUGUCAAUUUUUUUUUUUAAACUACCACAUGGGGUAAAAUGACUUUAACAAAAAUUGGAUAAGAUAAACUUGUUUAGCAGCUGGAGGAUAAAAACUAGAUAAGAGAAACAUUAUCUGGUAGAUGAAUUACAAAAGUAAGAUAAGAUAGAUGUUAACGAAUGAUAAAAUAUAAGAUAAUAUAAACAAGUUUUUAACAACCAUAAAGAGAUAUUGUAGAUAUAUCCUUAUUUGGCGAUGAAAUAAAGUAUGUUAUUAUAAGAUAAUAUUUAAUUAAUAUCUUAGGAUAAUAGAAACAUAAACAAUGAAUAUAAAAACAAGUUUAGUUAAAGAAACAAAGACAUAGAUAGAAAUAUAAAAUAAAUUUGUUUUUAAGAUAAUUCUUGAGUAAAUUUCUAUGUUUUCAAAACAUGAAGAGUAGGAAGACACAUUUUACUUGACCCCACUAUCCUUAUCUUUUUUGGUUUUGAAGCUAGAUAUGUUGCCCGUGCUAUGCUGUCGGCCGGGUUGAAUUUUUGCUAACAUAAAAAAAUCAAGGGGAUUUCAAACGAUGAAACAAAAAACAAUUAAUUUAAAAAAAUAGUGUUGAAGAAAAAACCCUUAAUUAUGAAAUUUGACAAGUUAUCUUUAUAACCAAAUAAAAAGAAAAGCGAAACAAUAAUAAAAUUCAAGGUUUAAUAACCAUCGAGAAAAAAAAACUCAAGUCAACCGUGUUAGUUUGUCAAAUUCGCAGUUCAAAUAAUUAAAUAAAGAUAACUUUAUAAAAAAAUUAUGAAAUUGAAUCCCUAAUAAAUCUAAUGUUGGACGAUAUAAUUACGAAAAAACAACCGAAUACUAUUCCAAUUAAUAGUAUUGUCCAAGUAGGAGAACACUAAAAUCCCAUAUUCCUUUAGUUUAGUUAAGUUUUUUUGUUUUUUUGAAAUUUUGAUUUUAAUCUCCCUCCCAGUAUCAUUACUCUCAUUCUGUAGCGAGUCAAGGCAUGUUUGUCCAUGUUGUCUAGGCUACCAGUCUCUCUAUCAUUUCUAGCUUUAGUAGCAGGGAGUGAUUGAUCCGCAUGCAACAACUUGAGAGCUCACCGUGCGAUUCUUACAACUCCCGUUUUUUAUUUUAAAGAUAUUUUUAAAAGAUUUUUUUUUUUACUUUAAAUUAAUAUAUUUUUAAUAUUUGUAAGAUCUAUGUUAUAUUAAAAAUAAUUUUUAAAAAAUAAAAAAAUAUUAUUUUAAUAUAUUUCUAAAUAAAAAACAUUUUAAAAAAUAACCACAAUCAUAUUUCUAAACAAAUUAUAGAUAGGACACAAGAAGCUAGAGAGACUAGGAGCUGAGACUGCUAGAUCUGUUGGACAUUUUAUGCCAUGGUUGGUUGGUUCGGAGGGAGGAAGGAUCGAGUGGGAGAUGUGAAAAUGUCCUAUAUAUAUACUUUUCUAAAGGUUAGUUUAUGUGAUGGUAGAAUGACACAAUCCUUUCAACCUAAUUUCACAGUCCUAAGAAAAAGCCAAGGUAUGUAUCGAUAACCAUAGAAAACCCUAGAUGAUGAUCAACAUAUAUAUAUACACACCCUUCAUCUGCCAUACGGAAAUGCUUUGAGUUUUUCUUCUUCCUUAGUUACGUUUCCUUGGCCCAAGAUUAAUUUCUUAGAGUACUAAGAUUGACAUUUUCUUGCCAUUGUUAGCUGGGAGGGAGGAGGGGAGAUAUUGGGAAAGGAAAUAUGAGCUAAUACUUCUGAAACGAGUUGCUCUUUUCUUACACGAUAAAAAAUAUGAAUUUUUUUUUAUAUGUUUUUUUAAUUUAAACUAUACACAAACAUAAUUUUAUUAUAGUACCUUUAUAUGUUUUUGUUAAGAAGAAACUAUUGAAUUUAUCUAGUAAAAUUUUAUUUUAGAUACAAACAACCUAAAUGCCAAUUAGUGCAUAGUAUAUGAAUUCUAGUUAAAAAAAGGGGCAAAUUUAUCUCUCACAUACCUCAAUAGAAAAUCACAAAUCUGUUCUUUGUCUCGUUCAAGUGUGAAAACAAGAUUCUUAAGAGCAACCAAUCCAUGUCAAUAAAUACGGGAAAAAAAAAAAACCUUUUUGGCAUACGGUGGUUGCUCCUUGGUACAUUGGUUUUGGGUAGACAUGCAUCAAUGGACAUGGACCCCUAACCUACCAACCAUGUGAUAAAGUACAUGUGAUCAAUUAAGCAACAUAUAUGACUAGAAAAAGGUUAAAAGUUAACGUACAAGGGUGGUUCAUUCAUCUGAGAAUUGACGAGAACCUAUAUAUAUAUAUAUAUAUAUAUAUAUAUGACUAAAUCUAUAUUUAUAUGUAUGUUACCGAUGUAGUAAUAAAUCUGUCAGGAAAUUAUAUUUAACAAUGACAAGUCCUUUAAUUUCUUUCCAACUUUCUGAAACUCUUCGACGACCUAGCUAGCAUGUCAGUAAUUUUAUUGGUAUUCCACAUUCUGUCAGUAAUCCAUCAAUAUUAUAUGUAAUAUAUAUUUUUUAAAAAUAUUAAAAUAAAUAAUGCAAUCAAAACAUAAUUAAAAUAAAAUAAAAAUAAAUUUAUAUUAUUAAUUUAAAAAAUAUUAUUAAAUAUAAUUUAUUUAUCUAGUGGACAUAAACUCGAGGAGGAGGCAAAAACAGAUCUUCGUUGGAACCAAGAGGGCAACAAGGUGGAGCAUAAGUAUCAGUGAGUGUUGCCAACAGCUGCUUGAAGACACUCACUUUAUCCCCCCAGUUAAGUCGACUCAACCCUAAGUUGGGUAGUCUUAGCUUGAAUUUGUUCUCGUACGAUCAAAAGAACAAGUGGUGAUUGCUGGCUCGAUUUGAGUUGCGUGGUCUCAACAAUCAAGUUAGUAUGGCUCGCUCGUAUACCUUUAGUUGUAGUGUUGGAGAUACUAUAAAUUCGAUUUCUAUUGAGUCCUUUGACAAAUCUAGCCUCCAACCAUAAUUUUUAUUAUUUAAUAAAUAAGGUAGUGUUAGAUUACUAUUUCAAAAUAGAAGUGGAAAAUGUAGUUAUGAUAAAGAGGACAUGCUUCCUUUUCUUUUUAUUUUGAAAGAAAAAUUUUUAUUUGAAAACCAUUAUUUAUUAUUUUCAUUUACUUUUAUUCUGAAACACCAAUUUCACUCAAUCUAGAGUUAACUAACUAUUUGACUUGCCUUUCACCUGCACAUCAAAUAAUGUUUGUUUAGGAAAAAAAAAAUGAAUAUGCAGUUUUCCAACAUGUUUUUGGACAUAAAUAAAUUCUCAAUCAUAAACUAAAAAGCUUAUGUAUAUAUCUAAUUAAAUAAAUAGAUAAUUAUUUGUUCCAGUAAACAUAAAAAAACUCUUAAUAAUAACUAAAGACUAAACUAAAAAAAUCAAGAGGUAGAUACAAAUUAAUAUAUUUGAUCUUGCAACACAGAUUGUGUACUCAAUUUUGUUUGAUAAUUUUUUUCCCUUAGAAUACAUUCUUUAUUUAAUCAAAUGAUUAUUCGUGAUAAUAAAACAUUAAAAAAGUAGUUAAGAUAACUAAAGAUUAAACUGAAAAAUAAAGAGAUAAAAAUAAAUCAAGAUAUUUGAUUUCACAACACAUGUUAUGUAUAUAGUUGUGUUUAAUAAUUUUUUCCUAGAAUAAACUUUUAAUGUAAUCAAAUAAUAAUAGAAACAAACACACACGUAAACAAGAUUGAAUAUAAUAAAAAAAAUAUUAUGUAAAGUUACAUAUAUUAAAAAACAAAAUGUUAUAAGUACUUUAUAUGAAAUCCAAGUGAAAAAUAAACAUAUUUAACCAAAGACUAAAUUUAAAAGUUGAGAUAAAGAUGUACAUGAGCCAUAGACUUGAUUGUAUUUAAUAACGUUAUUGUUUCUUCAAACCAAUGUUUUUAUUUAAUAAAAUGAUAAUAAAAAAACACAUAGGAAAGGGAUUGAAUAAAAAUAAAAAAUAAGUAAGGCUACAAAGAAAGAAUGUUUCCUUAAAAAAAAAAAGCAAUGAAAUCUUAUCUAUAAACUAAGAAAAAAUUAAAUCAUAUUCUAUAAGAAAAAUCAUAAAAAGUUAUUAAACAUUUAUUAAAAUAGAAAAAAAAGCCAAUAAGGAUGAUACUACAAAAAAAAAAAGACAAAACAAAUAGCAAAAAUGACCCAGAUGCGCGAGCCUGACCAAGGUGGCCUAACAUGUCUAGGCUUAAAAAAACUCAGGCCUACGUGUUUGAGCUAACUUUUUUUUUUUUAUAUAUAUUAAGGGUUAGAAGACUUGACGUCAACCCUUAAUGUUUUUGAAAACAAAUUACAACUUGAUGACGUGCCACUGCUUCUCCACAGAUUUCACCAUAAUGAUGGCUAUAAAAUCAUGGUUGAUGUUUUUUGACUUGAAAAUCUAUUUUCAACUUAUUUUUGAUCUAAAAUAUCUAUAAAACACAAUACACAUUUUGAUAAACCCUGUAUCCAACCUCAAAUAAUGCAAAAACCCAUUAAAAAACCCGAAAUCAAUUUCUAAUUAAAAACUUCUCGAGCUCAAAUCUAUCAUUGCUAGAAAAAAGAGAGGUAAAAAACACCUAGGUGAAAAUCUCUUAAUUGAAAGGAACCUGUCGACACCAAGAUCUAUAUUUUUCAUGACUGGACAUGGUGUCAAUUGAGACUCUCUCUCUUCAUUAUUGAAAUUUGACAACAAUCUCUCUCUUUUCUUGAAUCAGGAACAAAAAAUAAAAAAAAUAAAAUUUUAAAUUAAAAUUGUAUUUUUUAAAAUGUAAGGAACCAAAUAUUUAUAGAAAGCACGAGGAUAAACAUGAACUUUUUGCAUUAUUUUUUAAAUUGCAACCAAUUUUCUCUGUUUUUUUUCUAUAACUUUAAUCUUAUUCUUGCUAAACAAAUCUGAAGCUUUAAUUUGACCCUAAAAAAAUACAAUUGGCCAAAGAAAAGUUCGAAGGAAAAAAAAAAGCCACCGUGAAAAGAUCAUCAUGCAUAAUGUUUUUUCGCUGCAUUGUUUUUGCCGCAACAGAGUUUCUUGUAAUAGUCGAGAAUUCACUCAACCUUAAGCUAUAUUCCAGUCUUGCUAUCAAGAACCAUAACGUCCUAUCAAUUACCCUGACGAGGAUAUAAACAAAGGAGUCACCCAUCCACGAGCAAGACCCUUCACUAAACGAAGAAAAUCUUGAUCAAGUAAAGAGCCACAUCUUCACAUUGAUGUACCCUUUAUUAAACGAAGAAAAUGUUGAAGACUUGAACAAGUAAAAAGUCACAUCUUCAUAUUGAUGUGUCAAUAACUUCGUUUAUAAAUGAACGAAGUGUCAUCACAUGCUGCAGCUCAUGGUACCCCACAGUCUCUUUUGAGAGUGCUUUUUUUUUAAAUGGUGGCUUUUUUCAAGGAUUCUACCCAGGCAAGGCAGCCCAAGCAAGCAGAGAGACAUACAGCUUCAGAAGAGAGAGAGAGAGAGAGAGAGCACUACUUUUGCAAGAAGUUGCCUUCUAUAUUCAGGUACAUUUGUUUCUUCAAACAAUAUGCAUGAUCCAUGAAUGGUUUUCUGUGGCUAAAGGCUUUAUGGGAGUUGAGAUGCAUAGUUUCUCAUCUCCACGCUCAAAAUGUCAAAAAAGAAAAGGAAAAGAAAAUAAAAUUAAAAAAAGUAAAAACGGCGGAGAGAAUAAUUUCUGAGUAGAUUCGUUUUACAACUUUCUUAUUGCCAUGCAACAUACCAUGAAGCUAGGUUUUGGUUCUGCAGUCUGUUUUUGCCCAUUAUUCAGAUUUUUUACCACAUAAUGUGGAGUUGUUUGUUUUCCCAUUCCAAUCUUUUUAAAGUGUGGUGUGCAUUAGGGGCAGCAGCACGAUGUCUCAUAUUAUGAAACCUCAUAGUUGGAAAUUUCUUUUUUUGGUUACAGAAGUUGGAAUUUUUAACAGAUACUAUGGAGUUCUGUGUCUUAAUCUCCAAAUCUUUAGCCUUCUCUUUCCAACAACUUUUAUUUUUUGUAGUAAUUGGAUAAAACAGAAAUUAAGUGGGGGUGUUUUUAGCCUCCAUGUUUCUAUCUGUUUCUUCAAAAUAAAUCUAGAAAAGGAAUAAGCUAAACUAAUUAACACGCACCGCUAAUCAUUUCUAUGACCAUAUAAAUGCAUGCUCAAGUAAUUUGGGUGGGUUAAUUACUUUAAGAUUUUCAUUUAACUUUGGAACUAACAAACUUUGCUUGAAUUUAUGAAUCUUUUUUUUUUAAAAAAAAGUGUCAAUAAAGAAAAUCUUGCUUUGACAGGUUCUGUUCUUCAUUUUGGCUGUAUUUGACAAAGUAAAUUAAUUUUGAACAAGACCAACAAAGUGGAAGUGAUGAACAAGAUAUAAUGUAUAGGUGUCUGCCUGUGGCAUGCAUGGUUACAGAAACUGCAAGUCAUGGUGGUGUGUUGAGAGGAUCUCCCUUACAUUUGUUGCUUGUUCUGACAAUCUCCCCAAACAUGUGUCAUAAUGCGUGCACUAGUGUCCAUGACAUUUUAGUCAGAAACAACACCGACUGCUGUGUUUUUCAUUGAUUGUCUUCACCUACAUUUGCCUGCUGUGUUUUACUAAAUAUACAGGUAAAAUAAUAUUAUUGAGGUUGUUGAAACAUUAAUGAUGUUAAGAUUAGGUUAAUUAGAUCGAUAAAAACGAUGAAUUUUGGCAUGCACUCCUGGUUUUGAUGUAGACUAAUUUUGGAUAUUCCGAGUACAAAGAAAUUAUACUGUAUAAUAGUUAUUAGUUAGAGUCUGUUCUUGGAAUAUUUUUACUCAACGCUAAAGUCCUAUAUUUUAGCCUGGACCGCCAUGGAUCCUGUAAAGUCAUAUGCAUCAGUACGUUUUCUUCUAAGCCUGUGCUUUCUGGAAGCAGUUAUAGGCCAUCAAUGCAUGCUCAAAGUACUGAGAUAUAUUUACAGUGACCCUGGCUAAUCGAUAAUUCUACUAAAUUAUUUGUUCAUCUUUUCAUGAAUUUAAUUCAAGAAAGCUGAACAGAGCAAUGGCAGCCAAUGGAUUGUUUGCCUCCAGUGGCAAGCAUGGAGGAAAGGAAAGCCGCAUCAAGAGAAUGCCACAUGGGAAGCCUCCGUUCACUCUUGGCAAAAUCAAGAAGGCCAUCCCGCCCCAUUGCUUCGAACGAUCCCUUCUCCGCUCAUUCUCCUAUGUGGUUUAUGAUCUGUGCAUAAGCUUUCUCCUCUGCUACAUUGCCACCACAUACUUCGACCUCCUGCCAUCCCCGCUCUCCUGUGUCGCGUGGCCCACGUACUGGAUUCUCAAGGCAGCAUUCUCACCGGUGUUUGGGUUAUUUCUCAUGAAUGUGGUCACCAUGCCUUCAGUGACUACCGGUGGGUUGAUGACACAGUUGGCUUAAUCCUCCAUUCUGCACUUUUAGUCCCUUACUUUUCCUGGAAAUACAGCCACCGCCGCCAUCACUCAAACACAGGGUCCCUUGAGCGAGACGAAGUGUUCGUUCCAAAGCCUAAGUCUCGAAUCGCAUGGUAUUCCAAGUACCUAAACAACCCACCAGGUCGAGCUUUAAGUCUUGUUGUCACACUUCUGCUAGGCUGGCCCUUAUACCUAGCCUUCAACGUUUCAGGUCGACCCUAUGAUCGCUUUGCCUGUCACUAUGAUCCCUAUGGCCCCAUAUAUUCUGAUCGUGAAAGGCUUCAGAUUUACAUUUCUGAUCUUGGCAUUUUUGCGCAACUUUUGUGCUCUACAGCAUCGCUGUGUCUCGAGGGCUGCAUUUCUGAUAUGCAUUUAUGGGGUACCGUUACUUAUUGCUAAUGGUUUACUUGUCACCAUCACAUACUUGCAGCACACUCACCCUGCAUUGCCACAUUAUGAUUCCUCUGAAUGGGAGUGGCUUAGAGGAGCUUUGGCAACCAUGGAUAGAGACUAUGGGAUCCUGAACAAGGUCUUCCAUAACAUUACAGACACGCAUGUAGCUCACCAUCUCUUCUCUAACAUGCCACAUUAUCAUGCAAUGGAGGCUACGAAAGCAAUCAAGCCAAUACUGGGUGAGUUCUACCAGUUUGAUGACACUCCGAUUUACAAGGCCUUAUGGAGGGAGACAAAAGAAUGCCUGUAUGUUGAUCCAGACGACGGAGCUCCUGAAAAAGGCGUGUUCUGGUACCGGAACAAGUUUUGAUCCUGCUGCCUGCAAAAUCAUGCUAGCUAGAUGCAAGGGUAGGGUUCAAUAGUGUAGCGUGUUGCUAAUAAAUGGGGGAGAAGGUGUUGUUGAGCUAAAAAUGUAAUGGACUUGUAAUGAAACUCAUCAACUUAUGAAUUCUUAUGAAAAAAAAAAAAAAAUCAACUUAUGAAUACUUCUCUUCUUAGCUACUAUCAGCUUUUGUUUUUAGACUAGACAAGCGACGAUGACCAAAUUUUUGUGUGGUGUUUCCUCUGUCAAGUUUGUCUAUAAAACCUUGCAAGAAAUUAAAUAAACACAGACGAGCACAGAAAAAUAAGAGAGAGAUAAGAAACAAUAUUCAUGUAAAGGAUAAGAUAAACCCCUCGACGAAGGGAUAAAUCUCCCUCAAAAUUAUUCAUUAAUUUCCUUCAUCAUACUCUUCAACAUCAGUACAAAUCCUCGAGGAACCAGCACCUGUUAUAAUGACUCAUCUGAGCCAUCUUUUGAACCUGGAGAUAAGCCUCAAAUCCGAGGCAAAACUUGACUAAAAAAAGCGGCAUUCCGCAUUAAUUAAUGCUCCAAUUUUCCUGUUUCCAUUUAUGCUUAUGGUUAUGACACAUUUUAAACCCCUUUUAUUUUAAUGAAUUCCUAAAAUUCUCAAAACUCAAUAAUAUUUGGCAUUCAUAUGAUUUUUCUGAAACUAUAAGGUGGCAGAGUCGAAGGAAACUGGAGGACCUGCACAAUCGCCCCUGAAAAAAAUAUUUUUCUUGAGAGUACAUGAAGUAUGUGUAAUGACUGCAUCUCUAUCUUCAUAAAAUUUGUCUCCGAUCGAAAUAUGUGUUGAAAAAAGUAUCUUGAUAUUUACAAUCUUGCAAAUAAGUUUUAUCCCAAGAAUUCUAUAUCAAGAUAAUUUCUUUUGAGAUCUUGAUAAAAUUAUUUUGGAUUUGUUAUUGUUUUUUAGAAUAUUAUGAAUUGAGAAAAGUAUCAAUGCUAGAAUAAUUAGCAAACUAUCUGUACUCUUGUUGAAAAAAUAAAUUGCUUAUAAAAAUUUAAUUCUGAUUCCUUAAGCUAAAUUUCUGAAUCGGUCACCAUACCCUCCCUUUCGGAACCAUAUUGUCGUAGUUGUGUGGUGAGAGGGCAAGCCUUGCAUUUGUUGUUAGCCUUGACAAUUUGCCAAAUGUGUCAUCAAGCAUGCAUUAGUGUCCAUAACAUUUCACUGAAAAACAAAUCAAACUAACCAGACCAGUAAAAUCUAACCCUUAAUUUCUUUAUUAAUAAAAAAUAUUUUUUGAAAAAGCCAAUAGGUUGAAGCAUGGUUUUGAUCACCAUGUUAGCUUCGAGUCAAGGUGUUAACUUGAGUAUUUUAUUAGAUUAAUCAAUAUUUUUUAUUUUAUUUUUUAAACUUGAUUUGAGUCUCCUAUAUCCUGUUUAAAUUUUACAAUAUGAUUAUACGCUCUGUAUUUCAUUAAUUACCUUUUAACUUCACCUACAUUUCUUAAUUAACCGACGUUGCAAUUUAUGGAGGUAGAAGAUUAUUAUUUAGGUGGUUGAAAUAUUAAUGAUCAUGUCUAUAUUUCUUUUUCUGAUGUUUAGGUUAGGUUAACCAGAUCGAUCGAAACUUUGGCAUGUACUAUUGGUUUUGAUGUCCGACUAAUUUUAGGUAUGCUGUGGACAUCGCAUUUAUAUCAUUAUUUAAUAGCUAAUAAUUACAGUGUAUUCUUGGAACAAUUUUACUCAAGUUUCAACAAAUUUUGUUAAACCCAUACACGCGAUAUGACAAUGAAAUGUAAAGAAAUGAAAUCUAGUACGUGAUUUAGGAAUUUAAAAUUAAAAGAUUUAAUUUUAGGUUUGAGUUUUGUGGUUGUUAAUAUAAUAACCAUUAGAAAUUUACAUGAUCGUUAGCUUCAAGACUGGUAAAAUUAGUUGAAGUACAAACAAGCUAAUUCGAACAUUUAUAUUAAUAAAAAAAAUAUUUAAAACUGCAUUAUAAAAAUCAUAGAUAUCACACUCUUAUCCAGAAAAAAACAUUUGGAUUGUUAAAUUAUUUUUACUUGUUGGUUGGUAAACUGAGAUAUUUUUUUUUAUCAAAAAUAUUUUUUUUAAAAUUUUUUAGUGUUAAGUCUAUAGGGUUUGUUCAAAUUAAUUGAAUUAUAGAUUAACCCAAUUUAUUUUAAAUUUUAAAUUGUAGAUUCCCGAAUCAACCAUUUUGACUAUGCUAGAUUUAUUAACUAUCAUAAAUACUAUCCACUCGAUGCAUAUUUUUAUUAAAAAUUAAUUGUGAAAGUUUUACAUUAAAAUAGUCUGAAAAAUUAAAAAAUUAAUUAAAAAUAAAAUAAAAUAUUUUUAAAAAUAAAAAAAAUAAUUAAUUUCUUCCCGCAUACUUCAGCCAUUUUCACGGUCCUACAACAUUUAUUUUUUCCUUUUCUUCUAAGCCUAUGCUUUCUCAGGCAGGUACGUAAUUGCCAUUGAUACACAUACAUGCUGUGAAAUCAGAUUAUAAGAAUAUGAUAUCUGCUAAAUCAUGAUAUUCAAGGAAAGCUGAGGACGACAAUGGGAGGCAAUGGAGUGCAUGAUCAAGGAAAGGAAAGCAGCUUCAAGAGAAUGCCAAACACGGAGCCUCCAUUUACACUUGGAAAAAUCAAGAAGGCCAUCCCUCCCCAUUGCUUCCAACGAUCCCUUCUCCGCUCAUUGUCCUAUGUUGUUUAUGACCUCUCCUUCAGCUUUCUCUUCUGCUACAUUGCCAUCACAUAUUUCCACCUCCUACCAUCCCCUCUUGCCUCCAUCACAUGGCCCAUCUACUGGCUUCUCCAAGGCUGCAUUCUCACCGGUGUUUGGGUCAUUGCUCAUGAAUGUGGCCACCACGCCUUCAGUGACUACCGGUGGGUUGAUGACACGGUUGGCCUAAUCCUCCACUCUGCACUUUUCAUCCCAUACUUUUCCUGGAAAUACAGCCACCGCCGCCACCAUUCGAACACAGGGUCCCUCGAGCGCGACGAAGUGUUUGUCCCGAAGACCAAGUCCCGUGUCGCAUGGUAUUCCAAGCACCUAAACAACCCACCAGGUCGAGCUUUAAGUCUGGCUGUAUCACUUCUGAUUGGCUGGCCCUUAUAUCUAACCUUCAACGUUUCCGGUCGACCCUAUGAUC
rnacentral:lncRNA from 1 species